CGAUUCGAGUUCAAGCGUUGAAAUGGGACGAAAAACACCGCGAGGUCAGCGAAAAUUUCAAAGCUACGCGAAGUUGGUGCACCCGAUUUAUGAAUAGACGUGAUCUUGUGUUGAGACAAAAAACAAAGAUUGCUCAGAAAAUUCCCGCGGGGUGGUGGUGUUUACGUUCAAGGACGCUGCUGGAUGGACGAAGCUUGAAGUCGGUUAAAGAGAUGUGGCGUCGACGUCCCGAAGGUAUCAGGAAGGAAAGGUCGCUACUUGUCUGGGACGUGUUCAAAGCGCACUUGUCAGGACAAUGAAAUUAUCAAGAUUUAUGACCAACAGGAUUUUAUGCAUACAUGCUAAAUGUCUGUUUACUACCAGAAGUGGAUGGGAGUGGAGAUGCUGCCUGACCUGCCGAGUUCCUCCAACAUUGUGUGUGUGUGUUACACCUUUUUAAAAGUGUGCACGCUGGUGGUUUCUAAGAAUUAAGUUACAAUCCUAUUGAAGCUUGCACACAUUUUAGAAGGCAAUCAUUCUGCAGUAUCAAUUCAGCCAUUGAAUCAGGUUCAACUUGAAAAACUGAGUCAGAAUCUGGUUUUUUAUCAUUGACAUAGGUCAUGAAAUUUGUUUGAUGUACAGUGCAAUACAUAAAAAAUACUAUAAGUUACAAUGAGAAAUAUAUAAAACUAAAUAGUGUAAAAAGAGACCAAAAUAGUGCAGUAGUGUUGACGGCAGAGGCAGAAGGUUUUCUUAUGGUGUUUAGUGUACAUCUUCAGGCUCCUGUACCUCCUGCCUGAUGGUAGUAAUGAGAAGCAGGCAGGUCCUGAUAAUGAAUAUUGACAAUGAGUACUGAAGUAAAUCAUGAAAUAUUAUUGGAUGUGUCAAUUCCAUCUCAUUAGUCCCAUUAUUAUGCUUGUUACAGUAGUUUCUAACUAGAAGUUCUGGAAAUAUUGAUAUAAUCUUUAACUGUAGCACUGGAUGUAAUUUGCAAAACGUAUGAUGUAGGAGGCAUUGAUAAGUUAGAUUAUUUGGAUUAGUAGUUGAUA